rnacentral:rRNA from 1 species
GCUUGCUUCUUUGCUGACGAGUGGCGGACGGGUGAGUAAUGUCUGGGAAACUGCCUGAUGGAGGGGGAUAACUACUGGAAACGGUAGCUAAUACCGCAUAACGUCGCAAGACCAAAGAGGGGGACCUUCGGGCCUCUUGCCAUCGGAUGUGCCCAGAUGGGAUUAGCUAGUAGGUGGGGUAACGGCUCACCUAGGCGACGAUCCCUAGCUGGUCUGAGAGGAUGACCAGCCACACUGGAACUGAGACACGGUCCAGACUCCUACGGGAGGCAGCAGUGGGGAAUAUUGCACAAUGGGCGCAAGCCUGAUGCAGCCAUGCCGCGUGUAUGAAGAAGGCCUUCGGGUUGUAAAGUACUUUCAGCGGGGAGGAAGGGAGUAAAGUUAAUACCUUUGCUCAUUGACGUUACCCGCAGAAGAAGCACCGGCUAACUCCGUGCCAGCAGCCGCGGUAAUACGGAGGGUGCAAGCGUUAAUCGGAAUUACUGGGCGUAAAGCGCACGCAGGCGGUUUGUUAAGUCAGAUGUGAAAUCCCCGGGCUCAACCUGGGAACUGCAUCUGAUACUGGCAAGCUUGAGUCUCGUA